rnacentral:rRNA from 1 species
UACGUAGUGUGCGAGCGUUGUCCGGAAUUAUUGGGCGUAAAGGGCUCGUAGGCGGUCUGUCGCGUCGGGAGUGAAAACUCAGGGCUUAACCCUGAGCCUGCUUCCGAUACGGGCAGACUAGAGGUAUGCAGGGGAGAACGGAAUUCCUGGUGUAGCGGUGGAAUGCGCAGAUAUCAGGAGGAACACCGGUGGCGAAGGCGGUUCUCUGGGCAUUACCUGACGCUGAGGAGCGAAAGUGUGGGGAGCGAACAGG